rnacentral:piRNA from 1 species
AAGAUACCGAGAGCCACAUGUGUGGGU